GAUGAAGAACGUAGCGAAAUGCGAUAAGUAGUGUGAAUUGCAGAAUUCAGUGAAUCAUCGAAUCUUUGAACGCACAUUGCGCCCCUUGGUAUUCCAUGGGGCAUGCCUGUUCGAGCGUCAUUUGUACCUUCAAGCUCUGCUUGGUGUUGGGUGUUUGUCUCGCCUCUGCGUGUAGACUCGCCUCAAAACAAUUGGCAGCCGGCGUAUUGAUUUCUGAGCGCAGUACAUCUCGCGCUUUGCACUCAUAACGACGACGUCCAAAAGUACAUUUUUACACUCUUGACCUCGGAUCAGGUAGGGAUACCCGCUGAACUUAAGCAUAUCAAUAAGCGGAGGA
rnacentral:misc_RNA from 1 species